CCUACGGGGGCUGCAGUGGGGAAUAUUGGACAAUGGGGGCAACCCUGAUCCAGCCAUGCCGCGUGUGUGAAGAAGGCCCUCGGGUUGUAAAGCACUUUCAGUGAGGAAGAACGCCUGGUGGUUAAUACCCAUCAGGAAAGACAUCACUCACAGAAGAAGCACCGGCUAACUCCGUGCCAGCAGCCGCGGUAAUACGGAGGGUGCGAGCGUUAAUCGGAAUUACUGGGCGUAAAGCGCGCGUAGGUGGCUUGAUAAGCCGGUUGUGAAAGCCCCGGGCUCAACCUGGGAACGGCAUCCGGAACUGUCAAGCUAGAGUGCAGGAGAGGAAGGUAGAAUUCCCGGUGUAGCGGUGAAAUGCGUAGAGAUCGGGAGGAAUACCAGUGGCGAAGGCGGCCUUCUGGACUGACACUGACACUGAGGUGCGAAAGCGUGGGUAGCAAACAGGAUUAGAUCCCCUGUAGUC
rnacentral:rRNA from 1 species